rnacentral:miRNA from 1 species
CUUGCAAGCGGUUAGCAGCCU